AGUGAACGCUGGCGGCAGGCCUAACACAUGCAAGUCGAGCGGCAGCGCGUCCGACCACCCUCGGGUGGUCGGAUGGCGGCGAGCGGCGGACGGGUGAGGAAUGCAUCGGAAUCUGCCUCGUUGUGGGGGAUAACGUAGGGAAACUUACGCUAAUACCGCAUACGACCUACGGGUGAAAGUGGGGGACCUUCGGGCCUCACGCGAUGAGAUGAGCCGAUGCCGGAUUAGCUAGUUGGCGGGGUAAAGGCCCACCAAGGCGACGAUCCGUAGCUGGUCUGAGAGGAUGAUCAGCCACACUGGAACUGAGACACGGUCCAGACUCCUACGGGAGGCAGCAGUGGGGAAUAUUGGACAAUGGGGGCAACCCUGAUCCAGCCAUGCCGCGUGGGUGAUGAAGGCC
rnacentral:rRNA from 1 species